rnacentral:lncRNA from 1 species
GAUUGGAGCCAUUCUACUCCGUAAUGUAUAUAGAUACCAAGUUUGACGGAAACCUUUCAAUGUGGAAUAUUGUCAAAGCCAUAGGGAUAAGAAGACCAAUGUGUGUAGAGUGUAUGACAUUCAUUUAAUACAUAUGAAACAUAUAUUGUAUGGAUGAAAGUAUAUACAAAUGGAUGGAUAUAGAUUCACUUGGAGAGACAAAGAGAG